UACUUAAACCGUAUUUUAUAAAAAUUGUCAACAGCUACAAUAAUAACUUAGGGUUUUUUUUUACGUUAAGGCAGUGGAUUUUUGUUUAAGGCCUCGCUUCGGUUAAGUGUAAUUACUUUCGUUUUGUUUUAUCCCUCAAACAAUUAACAUACACAAGAGGCUACGCCUUUUUCCAUUAGGAAAGGUCACCGUAGGGUACGGAGUCUUAAAUGGUCGAUUUU